UACGUAGGGCGCAAGCGUUGUCCGGAAUUAUUGGGCGUAAAGAGCUCGUAGGCGGUUUGUCGCGUCUGCUGUGAAAACCUAAGGCUCAACCUUGGGCUUGCAGUGGGUACGGGCAGACUAGAGUGCGGUAGGGGUGACUGGAAUUCCUGGUGUAGCGGUGGAAUGCGCAGAUAUCAGGAAGAACACCUAUGGCGAAGGCAGCACUCUGGGACGGUACUGACGCUGAGACGCGAAAGCGUGGGGAGCGAACAGG
rnacentral:rRNA from 1 species